rnacentral:misc_RNA from 1 species
AAGUCGUAACAAGGUUUCCGUAGGUGAACCUGCGGAAGGAUCAUUAACAAAUCGUUGGAGUGGUUGAGGAAGUUGCUCUUUGGAGGAACUUGUCAACAACAUUUGUUCUCGUGACCUGGUUUAUGUUAUGUCAGGUCAUGUUAACAAACAUUUGCGCUUGUCAUGUUUGUCAGAUAUGUAAGAUUAUGAAGGGAAAUAUAGACAACUUUUAACAAUGGAUCUCUUGGCUCUU